rnacentral:rRNA from 1 species
GAUGAACGCUGGCGGUAUGCUUAACACAUGCAAGUCGAACGGACUCUUCGGAGUUAGUGGCGGACGGGUGAGUAACGCGUGAGAAUCUGGCUUUGGGUUCGGGACAACCACUGUAAACGGUGGCUAAUACCGGAUGUGCCGAGAGGUAAAAGAGAAAUUGCCUGAAGAUGAGCUCGCGUCUGAUUAGCUAGUUGGUGAGGUAAAGGCUCACCAAGGCAGCGAUCAGUAGCUGGUCUGAGAGGAUGACCAGCCACACUGGGACUGAGACACGGCCCAGACUCCUACGGGAGGCAGCAGUGGGGAAUGUUCCGCAAUGGGCGAAAGCCUGACGGAGCAAUACCGCGUGAGGGAAGAAGGCUCUUGGGAUGUAAACCUCUUUUCUUAGGGAAGAACAAAAUGACGGUACCUAAGGAAUCAGCAUCGGCUAACUCCGUG